CGAUAAGCCAUUGGAGGGCAAGUCUGGUGCCAGCAGCCGCGGUAAUUCCAGCUCCAAUAGCGUAUAUUAACGUUGUUGCAGUUAAAAAGCUCGUAGUUGAAGUGUGGGUGAUCGCUGUUGUGAGACUUCGGUCUCUCGACAGUAAGUCACCCCCUUCCAGUAUCCAGUAGUGGGUAUUCAGUUACUUACUAUUGUGUGUUGGUCGUUUACUGUGAGAAAAUUAGAGUGUUCAAAGCAGGCGUUUGCUUGAAUAGAUUAGCAUGGAAUAAUAAUUGAAGGCUUUCGUGUUCGAUUUGAUUGGUUUGUUCAUGGAAGCAAGGUUAAAAGGAACAGUUGGGGGUAUUCAUAUUCACUAGU
rnacentral:rRNA from 1 species